CAAUGUAGCACAGUCGGUAGUGCAGCUGAUUCGUAAUCAGCAGGUCGCAAGUUCGAUUCUUGUCAUUG
rnacentral:tRNA from 1 species